AACAGAAAGACAUAGGUUUUUCUAGUGGCCAUCCCUUAAAGCUAUUCUUUUGGAGCAGACUUUAAAAGGCAAAUAUUUUCAAUCUUGACCACAUUGUGUGACAGAACUGACCUUUUUUUCAGGACUUUUUUUUAGGGAAGGGUCAUCUAGGAUUGAUUUAGACACAGUAUUCCCAUUUGGUUGCAGCUGAUUCAAUUCUGCGAUUGAAAUGUCUUACAUUUGGAGCUGACUGCUCUUCAAGCAUAUUUUUCUGUCUAGACAUAACCUACAUGGCAGAUGGCAGAAGCUCUGUAAAUAUCAGUUGUGCCUGCAAACCCUAAGGCAGUCUUGCAGGACACACCUGUCAUUUCCAUCAUGCUUACACGGAUAGCGUGUCACUCUCGGCCUCUCUCGGCCCUGCUCAGCAUCAAGCCCUGAAGAACUUCUGCUGCAAAAGGUAGCCACACUCAGUUUGUGCAUCAAACCAGUUGACUCUAUGAGGCUAUGUAGCACCUCGCCUGCUCACAAGGAGAAAUGGGCCAAGUGUUUGCAGUUUGCACUCCCAAAGAAGCUACAGUGUCAGCCCCUCAAUCUCCUCAACAUCCCUGGGCAUGCAUCUUUCCACAAAAGAGGGACCUAAGAGAAGAAGGAAAAGCAAGCAGUGACAAAUGUGAAGGGCAUCUCACAGCGCUCAGCUUUUCCACAGAAGAUGCCGCUGGGUAUUUCUUAUCGUCUCACACUAACACUGAUCUUUGGGACACAGAAAACUGGCUCUGUUUUGUGGCUGCCUUUAAACACAGCUCCGUGACCAAACCACGGUCAUCGUGCUCUUGGCGAGACACUGGCCAGAGAGUUAGGAGAGAAGCCACCAACUGGGAGAAAAUAUCUGAAUAAGACAUAGCUGAUAUAAGAUUUAC
rnacentral:lncRNA from 1 species